rnacentral:lncRNA from 1 species
CACAAAUUUAAUACGUUUUUGAAAUGUAAAUAUCAGCCUGCGUAGAAGGCGGUAUUCGCGGGCUUUUUUCCUGACUACGAACGAACUUCAAACUUUUAUUUUCAAACUUUUAUUUUUAAACUUUUAUUUUUAAACUUUUAUUUUUAAACUUUUAUUUUCAAACUUUUAUUUUUAAACUUUUUCAAACAUUUAUUUUCAAACUUUUAUUUUCAAACUUGAACAGGAAUAUAAAGUCUGGACAAGAGUAUUAGUGUAUAAAUAAAUAAG